rnacentral:rRNA from 1 species
AUUGAACGCUGGCGGCAGGCCUAACACAUGCAAGUCGACCGAGUGGCGGACGGGUGAGUAAUGUAUGGGAAACUGCCUGAUGGAGGGGGAUAACUACUGGAAACGGUAGCUAAUACCGCAUACAAUCGGAUGUGCCCAGAUGGGAUUAGCUUGUAGGUGGGGUAAAGGCUCACCUAGGCGACGAUCCCUAGCUGGUCUGAGAGGAUGACCAGCCACACUGGAACGGUGACGCGGUCCAGACUCCUACUGGAGGCCGCAGUGGUGAAUAUUGCACACUGGGCGCAAGCCUGAUGCUGCCCUGCCUCGUGUAGUAAGCAGUCCUUCGGGUUGUAAAGUACUUUCAGUGGGGAGGCGUUACCCGCAGAAGAAGCACCGGCUAACUCCGUGGCAGCAGCCGCGGUAAUAC